UUUUAUAUACUUUUUGCAUAAUUACUCAAUGCUUUAUUUAUGCAGGUAUUUAUGGAUUUAUUCACUCAUUUAUUUAUAUAUUUGCGUAUUUAUUUAUAGUUUCUGCUGGUUUCGUCCUCCAUAUGCACUCAAAGUUUAACUAAAUCUGUCAAAAACAUUUGAAAAAAUGAAACAUGCCCUGAUAAUUUGUUAGAAAAAAAAUCUUUCAAGCAUUAAGAAACUUAUGUAUUUUUUAUUGUAUUUCAAGCUGACUUUAAACCAGCCAAUGGAACAUUGUGAGCAAGCUGGAGGACCAACAAACCAGAACAUUCUGACUCCAACUUAAUUUCUUUCGCAUCAGCCAAAUUAGUAGGUGUUUUUAAGUUGUGAAAUAAACAGGAAAAAUUAAAGCAUAGCUCGUUAGAGUUUUGAUUUUCUCUCCAAACAAACAUUCAGUGCUGCAAAUGUACUUCAAAUUGUUGAAAUGCACGAGACAUGCAGAAGUUGCAUGGGGAUUUUUUGUGCGCGCUAUAAAUAGGCAUCAAAACAAAAGCAGCGAUCCUGCGCCAAAUCACUCUGAGACUCACAGAAACACCGAGCAAACAGCCCAGAGCCCUCAGUCAACUUCUCACAUCUGCCAUAAACAUUCAUUUCAUACGCAUGCCAAGAUAAAAAAGAAAGGGAAGCGAACAGCGUCGCGAUUUUAUUGUUUUCAUAAGGGUUGCAUGCUUGUUUCGCUGCAAUGACAGCUUAUUUUGCAUGUUGCAAUCUAAUGAGAAUGUUAAUAACAAAUGCGUGGACAAUCUUAAAAAAGGGGAGGCCGAAAAGGCACAAAAGCAUCCAUUAAUUAUAUGAGGGCUUCCUCAAGCAGCCUCCAUUAAAAUGUCAGCUUUUGUUAUGCACGCAAAGAAAGAAGCACUCUCCAAAAGAGCUAUGCAACAUGUAAACUUCCGCUUGCAAACAAUAAUGCCCCUAUGCCUCCGUCCCUCUCUCGGUUAGUCUCGCUGAGAAAAUAAAAAAGGAAAAAAAACUCGAGGAUAAAAAAAACGAAGAGAGGAAAAAAAACGUCGACGCCAAUGCGAGAGAGACGCAGCUUCAUGCAGACUUCCGGCUGGCGAGACAGGGGGAGAAGCGCCCGCGGCUCCUCCGGGCCGGGACAGUUCGGAAACUUCGUCCAAAUCCGCCCGAACCCCUUGGAUUCACCGAUUUUUUUCCCUCAAUUUUUUUCUAUUUUUUUCUCUCGCGAAGGGCUGUCCGACUCCGCUCGACUACACUUCCUGUGGAUGAGGUCAAAAUUUUAACUAGCUUGCCGCCAAAACCACUUCCGCUAUGUGAGGUCAAUUAUGUUUCAUGAACACAAAUAAAGGUUCGUUUGAUUGAU